CAAUAGUGUAUAUUAAAGUUGUUGCGGUUAAAAAGCUCGUAGUUGGAUUUCUGCCAAGGCUGACCGGUCCGCCCUUUGGGUGAGUAUCUGGCUUGGCUGGAGCAUUUUCUUGGAGGGCAUGGCUGCACUUAACUGUGUGGUAUGCAACCCAAGACUUUUACUUUGAGGAAAUUAGAGUGUCUCAAGCAGGCUCGCGCCUUGAAUACAUUAGCAUGGAAUAAUAAGAUAAGGCCUUGGUUGUAUUUUGUUGGUUUCUACAGCUGAGGUAAUGAUGAACAGGGAUACUUGGGGGCAUACGAAUUUAACUGUCAGAGGUGAAAUUCUUGGAUUUGUUAAAGACGGACUACUGUGAAAGCAUUUGCCAAGAAUGUUUUCAUUGAUCAAGAAUGAAAGUUAGGGGGUCGAAGACGAUUAGAUACCAU
rnacentral:rRNA from 1 species